rnacentral:lncRNA from 1 species
UGGCCUAUAUAGUCCAAUCCCAGAAACCUUGGAAACUCAUUUUAAUGAAAUCAACUACCUAUAAUAUAGGUGUGUGCAUAACUUUAGAAAUGUUGUGUGUAGCAGCACCAUUGCCAUAUGACCAGGAGGUUACGAGUCCGAGCUGUGGAAACAGUCUUUUGCAGAAAUGUAAGGCUGCAUUGAAUAAACCGUUGUAGUUGGACCCUUCUUCGGACUCCACGCAUAGCAGGAGCUUAGUACACCGGGGAUGUUUAGCCCCAUAAGGCCUCACUACUAUUAUUGUCUUUUGGAGAGUAAUGUCAAAAUAAAUCUUCAGACACAUGCUGGGGAGAAAAUUGUUGAUUUUUCUACCCAAACAUGCUGUAAUUCACUUUCUCAAUGAUGAUACAUUCAAGCAGGAACAGGUUCAGAAACUCCGCCAUUUUCAGCUUGAUCCAAACUAUCAUAGUAUUCCACCAAAACCUUCCAACCACCGGGGCACAUAAAUCCAUCUGGAGGGCUCUCCUUGGUCUUUGCAAGAGUUCGCAU